rfam:Triticum aestivum genome assembly, contig: Triticum_aestivum_CS42_TGACv1_scaffold_546669_6DS
UUUCUACUCCCUCCGUCCGAAAGUACUUGUCAUCAAAAUGGAUAAAAAGAGAUGUAUCUAAAACUAAAAUACGUCUAGAUACAUUUCCUUUUAUCCAUUUCGAUGAUAGGUAUUUCCGGUCGGAGGGAGUAUUUG